rnacentral:rRNA from 1 species
CCUACGGGAGACAGCAGUGAGGAAUAUUGGUCAAUGGACGAGAGUCUGAACCAGCCAAGUAGCGUGAAGGAUGACUGCCCUAUGGGUUGUAAACUUCUUUUAUAUGGGAAUAAAAUGAUCCACGUGUGGGAUUUUGUAUGUACCCUAUGAAUAAGGAUCGGCUAACUCCGUGCCAGCAGCCGCGGUAAUACGGAGGAUCCGAGCGUUAUCCGGAUUUAUUGGGUUUAAAGGGUGCGUAGGUGGGUUGUUAAGUCAGUUGUGAAAGUCUGCGGCUCAACCGUAAAAUUGCAGUUGAAACUGGCAGUCUUGAGUACAGGAGAGGUGGGCGGAAUGCGUGGUGUAGCGGUGAAAUGCUUAGAUAUCGCGAAGAACUCCGAUUGCGAAGGCAGCUCACUGGACUCACACUGACACUGAGGCACGAAAGUGUGGGUAUCAAACAGGAUUAGAUACCCGGGUAGUC